AACAAAUCGAAUUGGUCAAAGGACAUAAUUCUGUUAAGGACAAUCAAAUGGCUCAGUCGGCAGAAGAUGGAAUAAUGUUAAAGGAAGCAAUAAUAUGUCAAACAAAACAAACAACCGGUGAGAAAGAAAAGUACCACAAGCAAAAGCAGUGACUGAGAUAAUAAUUGAGCAACAAAAGCAACAGUAAUGAAUUUAAGCAGCAGAAAUAAUGAAUUUAAUUGUUGCAAAAUUAUGUCGCAAGCUUAAGGCAGAUAUUAAACGCCUAAAAUCAUAUUUUUAAUCAAGUCGACAGGCUGAACAAGAACUACGAUCUCAAAACACUUUAUUAAAUGGUGAACAACAAGCAUAAGAUUAUACAGGUUAGUCGCGGCUCGACAACAGGACAAACAGACAAUGUCGUUUAGCUUCCGAAAGAAGAGCUCGACAUACUGCUGAGGAAGCCCGCUCUCUCUCUCUCUCUCUCUCUCAUUCGACAAGAGUGUACAGAUGCAUGUAAGUUCCGUAGAGCCUACAUAGAGUUGGAUCUCAAAAGCUUUUUCUUUUCAAUUUCUUGUAAUGAUAAUAAAUAAGCAGCUUCUUUUUCUAUUGCUCUGUUAUUUAAAACAAUAUCGCUAUUAAAGGUUUACGAGAAAGAAACUGCUUGUUAUACAGAAAAUCAUAGUGAAUCAGAAAUCAUAUUUGGGACACUUAAUAUGCUACAAAACAAAAAUACUCAUUGGGAAAAAAGUUUGACUGCGGAUACUCAUAUCAAACUGGAUCUGUUUUCGGCUCUUGGUGAAGCUAAACGCCUAAUCCAAUCGAAAUUAAAGGAGAUCGAUGUUUUAAAGACUAGAAUAUCACAAGACUUAGCUAUAAGCCUGCAAGACACAUUUGGUCUUGCAGCUCCAUCAUGUUCUACGUCAAAGCCAUUCUUAUCUGUACGCAUAAAGUGUGAAUAAAAAUGAAAUUCAUUAAAAUAGAAUUGCUCGGGAUACAUAUACUUCCAUGUGACAUAAUGAGGAUUGUAGUUGUACUAUGAAGUAAAACCAUACCAAGACAAGAUUAAGAAAUUCACUUUUAUACAAUUCACAUUUAAACAAUGU